rnacentral:lncRNA from 1 species
GAGGGGGGAACGGAGACGUUUUACAGAGGAUAAUGAAAUUUACAAAGAAGAGAGAAGCCGGGGAGAGGCGUUCCCCUGACAGCUCCUCUGAGGGAGCCCGGGGAGCAGCCCCUCAGGCCGCCCACACCCCCGACCCCCCCACCUCGCCGGUUCCCUGCUUCCCUCGGUCCCGAGGCGUGUUAAGCAUGAACACCGUGUUUGACUACACCUCAUCUUUUUAACAUUCUGACUUUUUCCACUGGCCGCCUGCUUUCCAAACGCUUCCCUCGAGUUACAAAAAACUGAAGACAUUACGUUUUAAGGCAAGAGCUCCUAUUUGACCUCUUCCUGUUUCAUUCCAAUUGGUGAGUAGUUUCUUCUUCUGUGUUAUCAGGCCACCGCUCAGUCCAGGAAUGCUGCUGGUUUUGUGUUUCCAGCCCUGGCAACACGUGGCUGGUUUCUGAAGCCCUGGUUUGUGGCUGGGAGUAAGUCUCUUGCACUGGCCCCGUUUUUCUGUUUCCUCUCCUCAAAGGAUAAUUCAGUUAAGCAAAUUGAUUAUUUUUAAUUGUGGGUAACUCCUCGGAAAUAGGUCAGUAAGUCUCUUGCACUGGCCCCAUUUUUCUGUUUCCUCUCCUCAAAGGAUAAUUCAGUUAAGCAAAUUGAUUAUUUUUAAUUGUGGGUAACUCCUCGGAAAUAGGUCUGCAGAAAGAACAGCAUGAGAGGAGGAGUCCCCAACUUGUCAUCCUCCUGAAGUCCAGUGCUUUUCUGUUUAUUUUUGUGAGUUUCUACAGACC